rfam:Triticum aestivum genome assembly, contig: Triticum_aestivum_CS42_TGACv1_scaffold_019203_1AS
UAUGUACUCCCUCCGUCCUAAAAUUCUUGUCUUAAAUUUGUAGUUAGAUACAUCCGUAUCUAGACAAAUUGUAUCUAGAAUUAUCUAGACAAAUUCUAGAUACAUCCGUAUCUAGACAAAUUUAAGACAAGAAUUUUGGGACGGAGGGAGUAGCAC